rnacentral:rRNA from 2 species
GACGAACGCUGGCGGCGUGCCUAAUACAUGCAAGUCGAACGAACUCUGGUAUUGAUUGGUGCUUGCAUCAUGAUUUACAUUUGAGUGAGUGGCGAACUGGUGAGUAACACGUGGGAAACCUGCCCAGAAGCGGGGGAUAACACCUGGAAACAGAUGCUAAUACCGCAUAACAACUUGGACCGCAUGGUCCGAGUUUGAAAGAUGGCUUCGGCUAUCACUUUUGGAUGGUCCCGCGGCGUAUUAGCUAGAUGGUGGGGUAACGGCUCACCAUGGCAAUGAUACGUAGCCGACCUGAGAGGGUAAUCGGCCACAUUGGGACUGAGACACGGCCCAAACUCCUACGGGAGGCAGCAGUAGGGAAUCUUCCACAAUGGACGAAAGUCUGAUGGAGCAACGCCGCGUGAGUGAAGAAGGGUUUCGGCUCGUAAAACUCUGUUGUUAAAGAAGAACAUAUCUGAGAGUAACUGUUCAGGUAUUGACGGUAUUUAACCAGAAAGCCACGGCUAACUACGUGCCAGCAGCCGCGGUAAUACGUAGGUGGCAAGCGUUGUCCGGAUUUAUUGGGCGUAAAGCGAGCGCAGGCGGUUUUUUAAGUCUGAUGUGAAAGCCUUCGGCUCAACCGAAGAAGUGCAUCGGAAACUGGGAAACUUGAGUGCAGAAGAGGACAGUGGAACUCCAUGUGUAGCGGUGAAAUGCGUAGAUAUAUGGAAGAACACCAGUGGCGAAGGCGGCUGUCUGGUCUGUAACUGACGCUGAGGCUCGAAAGUACGGGUAGCAAACAGGAUUAGAUACCCUGGUAGUCCAUACCGUAAACGGUGAAUGCUAAGUGUUGGAGGGUUUCCGCCCUUCAGUGCUGCAGCUAACGCAUUAAGCAUUCCGCCUGGGGAGUACGGCCGCAAGGCUGAAACUCAAAGGAAUUGACGGGGGCCCGCACAAGCGGUGGAGCAUGUGGUUUAAUUCGAAGCUACGCGAAGAACCUUACCAGGUCUUGACAUACUAUGCAAAUCUAAGAGAUUAGACGUUCCCUUCGGGGACAUGGAUACAGGUGGUGCAUGGUUGUCGUCAGCUCGUGUCGUGAGAUGUUGGGUUAAGUCCCGCAACGAGCGCAACCCUUAUUAUCAGUUGCCAGCAUUAAGUUGGGCACUCUGGUGAGACUGCCGGUGACAAACCGGAGGAAGGUGGGGAUGACGUCAAAUCAUCAUGCCCCUUAUGACCUGGGCUACACACGUGCUACAAUGGAUGGUACAACGAGUUGCGAACUCGCGAGAGUAAGCUAAUCUCUUAAAGCCAUUCUCAGUUCGGAUUGUAGGCUGCAACUCGCCUACAUGAAGUCGGAAUCGCUAGUAAUCGCGGAUCAGCAUGCCGCGGUGAAUACGUUCCCGGGCCUUGUACACACCGCCCGUCACACCAUGAGAGUUUGUAACACCCAAAGUCGGUGGGGUAACCUUUUAGGAACCAGCCGCCUAAGGUGGGACAGAUGAUUAGGGUG